rnacentral:rRNA from 1 species
GACGAACGCUGGCGGCGUGCUUAACACAUGCAAGUCGAACGGAAAGGACCUGCUUUUGUGGGGUGCUCGAGUGGCGAACGGGUGAGUAACACGUGAGUAACCUGCCCUUGACUUUGGGAUAACUUCAGGAAACUGGGGCUAAUACCGGAUAGGAGCUCCUGCUGCAUGGUGGGGGUUGGAAAGUUUCGGCGGUUGGGGAUGGACUCGCGGCUUAUCAGCUUGUUGGUGGGGUAGUGGCUUACCAAGGCAUUGACGGGUAGCCGGCCUGAGAGGGUGACCGGCCACAUUGGGACUGAGAUACGGCCCAGACUCCUACGGGAGGCAGCAGUGGGGAAUAUUGCACAAUGGGCGGAAGCCUGAUGCAGCAACGCCGCGUGCGGGAUGACGGCCUUUGGGUUGUAAACCGCUUUCGCCUGUGACGAAGCGUGAGUGACGGUAAUGUGUAAAGAAGCACCGGCUAACUACGUG